UGUGAAGUUCUUACCAGGAGCACAUCGACUGUUGUGGAAGCUGUUUGAGACAGUGACAACAAAGGAUAUGUGAAAUAGAUGUUCUGCAACAUUUGAAUUGAAACCAAAAUCCAUUGUCCUAAUUAGUUAUUGGACUCUUGGCAUAAUUACACAUGCUCAAGGGAUAUUCCCUGAUUAUGUUAGCUGUCUCUCAUGGCUGCUAUCAUCUGCUUCCAGGGAUGAAUGGCACAGUAGAACACAAAUAACACAUAAAUAGAGAAUGUUUGCCUUUUGAGUUCCAGAAGCCUAGUCUCUGACAUCAACGAAAUAUUUGGAAGCUUGUGCAGUGAAUAAGAGAAACUUACAUACCUGCAACCAUAGAUAAAAAUUCCCUGGCCCAGAAGGCUGUGGAAACUAAUAUUUUGAUAAAGACUUAAAAAUAAAUAGAAGCAUAACACUUAAAAUUACAAUAGAAACCACCAAAAGAACAAAAAUAAGAAGCUGUUAAAAAUUGUAGUCCCUGGGAAGUGGCAC